rnacentral:lncRNA from 9 species
UUUUUUUUUUUUUUUUUUUUUGUUGUUGUUAUUAUUGCUAUCUCUUGGUUCUUGGGCCGCUCCCGCGGCAUAUGGAGGUUCCCAGGCUAGGGGUCGAAUCGGAGCUGUAGCCACCGGCCUACGCCAGAGCCACAGCAACGCGGGAUCCGAGCCGCGUCUGCAACCUACACCACAGCUCAUGGCAACGCCGGAUCGUUAACCCACUGAGCAAGGGCAGGGACCGAACCCGCAACCUCAUGGUUCCUAGUCGGAUUCGUUAACCACUGCGCCACGAUGGGAACUCCCCUGUUGACACUUCUUGAGGCAGGAGAUAGGUGUAACUAGCCUCUUGUUUUCAUUUCCUGAGACAGGACAUAGGUGGGCUCUGGGAUAAACAUUGAAAAGCAGACACCUGUCUGUGCUUGGGGAUGGAAAUAACAAUGUGCCCAAGGCAAAUACUUGGUACUUAUUUUCUGUGACCUGUUAAACAAUGACAGGCUCAGAAGAGGGGCUGAGCCCUGAUUGGUCAAAAGACCAAGAGGUCACAUACUCCCCAUCCUCAGGGUCAGGGAGACCCCAACUACACAUGCUCAGAAAGACUUCUCUGGGGCAUAAAGGGAUGGGAUGCCAGGCCAUAAUAAGUCUAGAUAACCUUCCCACAAGGCCUUGCUUUGGAAUCCAUCUUGGCCAAAAGAUGUGCAUGCAGAUCGGGGAGGGCCCGGGCCCAGUCGGGUAAAAAGAUAAAACAAGAUAAUUGGCCAAAUGAAAACAAAGAACCAGAAGAACCAGCCUGUGUAGGUGAUUUAAAGCAGCUCUCUGGCUGCCCCUCAUUCCAGGGGAUGCCUGAGUCUGUACUCCUCCUUUGGCUGUGUAGUACUGCUUUGCUUCUGCCUUAGAUAAAUAGAUGGCUUCUGUCUGUGGUCUCCCACAUGUUGGAUUUGUCUCUAACAACAAACUUUAUAUACCUCUUUUUACAGUCUUUGCCUCUUUGAAACAUUUUUGCUUUCAACAGGGGGCAAGAAAUCAGGGGAUUCUUUUGUUUUUUAGGGCUGUACCCAGGCGUAUGGAAGUUCCCAGGCUAGGGGUCAAUUCACAGAGCUGUAGCCACUGGCCUUCACGGCAGCCAUAGCAAUGCAGGAUCCAAGGUACAUCUGUGACCCACACUAUAGCUCAUGGGUGUGCCAGAUUCCUGACUCACUGAGCAAGGCCACGGAUUGACCCCGCAUCCUCAUGGAUACUAGUUGGAUUAGGAACCCCCAAGAAUCAGGGGAUUCUGCUUCUGCCUUCUAGCUACUCUAGUAGUCAAGGUUCCUGGUUUCCACCCAGGUUGCCCAGGUUCAAUUCCUGAGCAGAGAAUUAAGAUCUUGCUUCAAGCCAUCACUCACUGCUGUCUCUCUGAGAUCAGAGGGAUGGUAAGAUUUGGUAUAAAACUAUUAGGGGUGCAAGUCUGUCACAUUAAAGCAUUGGGCCUGCUGUUCAUGGAAGUAUUGUGUUGCUUCAGGCACUCCGAAAUGAAAUGGGGAGUGUUCCAAUUUUAUGACAAAAGCUAUUGUUUUGAUGGUGGGUGCCCUUGGACUAAAGAUUUUUGAAAUUAAUUGUGUUCCCUAACCAGAGUAUAUUAGAUUAACAAUAACAGCCAUCAUAAGUGGUACACGUGUGGUGGAUUGUUUGAUGCUUCUAUAUCUUAUGGGAUAUUUUUUUUUCUAGAAUAGGGAUAAUGUUAAUCAUUGUGCACCUGUUAUUACAAUUAUGCUUCCAGAGAUAAUGGUCUGGAGAAUGACAGUAAAAACAAUAGGGUUUAUUAGUACAGGAAGGAUCUAAACAACAUAUUUGGGUGGGGGUGACAGGCCUGAUAGCUCACUUCAUGGACCUUCCUCUAGCAUGUGGUGUAACAUGGAAGCUUGGAGCAUGUAAAACUCUUUAACAGUAGCUCAAUUCCUAUGGUUCUAGGAAUAAGAGGGUUUAGACCUUUGUUAUUUACGCUACUUAACUUUUUGUCAGACAUACUAAGUUUAUGGUGGGAUUUCUGAUGUGAAGACACAUCAUGAAACCUCUCCUAUACAGGGGGCUAAUGGUUAAAAAAAAAAAUAGAUGUGUAAGUGGAUCAUAUCAAAAAUGAGGGUAAGGUGCUCGAAUUCGUAGAAAGGAGAUUGCUAGGGGUGUUUUAACUAUGACAUUGGCUGUAUGUAAUUCUGGCCUGUAGGGGUUGUGAAGUGCUCCUAAAGGUAGGAUUGUUGUGAAAGUGUUUGUAAGAGUGAUAUUGACACAGUAUCUGGGAAGAACAAGGAGAAUGGGCCUGCCACACUUUCUACAUUGAAGCCAAAUACAGGUUUUGAUUCUACUUCUGUUAAAUUACAUGGGGCUCCAUUGGAUUUCUGCUAGAAUAAUCAAGUUCUGUGUAGGGGUCAAGGUGGGAAAAUUAGUCCUAGGUGUUUAUGUAUAAUAAUUACUGGUCGGAGUUCCCCUCCUGGUGAAGCGGAAAUGAGUACGACAAGGAACUGUGAGGUUCCCAGGUUAGGGGUCGAGUCAGAGCUACACCUGCUGGCCUACACCACAGCUACAGCAAUGCAGAAUAUGAUCCAUGUCUGUGACCUACACCAUAUCCCACAGCAACCCUGGAUCCUUAACCCACUGAGCGGGGCCAGGCAUCAAACCCAUCACCUCAUGGUUACUAGUCAGAUUUGUUUCUGCUGCACCACAAUGGGAAUGUCCAUAGCGGCUCUUUAAUAAAUAACGACUGCCUCAGUAAUAAUGGGUUAUAAUAAUCCAUAGGGAGUGACAGUUUGUGACCCUUUCUGGAUUUGUGGUUAGCCUAGGAUUUUUAAUUCACUUCAUGUAAGGAAUGCUAUAGCAGGUAAAAUUGGGUAGUUGGUGAAAGAAUGCUGAUUAUGAGCAUAUGCUUAGGAAGAGGAAUUGGACCACCGUGGAUAAAGGCUCAAGUUUUAUGCAAUUGCUGGGCUCUGAAAACGCUAACCCUGGUCUACAGUAGGGGUGUAUAAAUUAAUUGAAUGUAGAUUAUAUCAUCAUUUAGUUUGAAGACAUCUUGAAAAUUAAGCCUUAUUUCUCUUGUCCUCUCUUACUGGGAGAAAUCUAUACCGGAGAGAAAGUGACCAGGACUACUCCAGUCUGAACCCAAGUCAUGCAGGACUUUCUUUGUUGGACAAACAGACCCUUCAUAGCGGUCACACCAUUGGGAUGUCCUGAUCCAGCAUCGAGGUUGUAACCCUACCGUUGAAAUCUAGAAUUAGGAUUAUGCCGUUAUCCCCAAGGUAACUUGUUUCCAUGGUCAAUGCUUUAGAUCAGUAGGUGAUAAGGCAUUUUGUUGAGUUGGUCUAAAGUUUCAUCCCUCAGGGGUUGUUUUGAGGCAGAAGAUAGAUAGGCUCCAGGUUAGAUAUUUACAACUAGCCUCCUGUUUAUACUUCAAGAGAAAAAUAAUAGAAACAGGAUAAAUAGCUGGACAUUUUGUCCUGCAAACACUUUAAAAUAAUGGUAAUGGCCUCGAGGACAGAGAAGGGCUGAGCCCUGCAUGGGUAAAAGAUCAAGAGGUCACAUACUUCCUGUCCUUGGGUCAGGGAUAUCCCAACUACGCAUGUGCAGAAAGAUCCUUAGUAUUAAAAAGGCAGGGGUACUAUCCCAUAAUUGAUGCUGUCAGUCUUCCCAUAAACCCUAUGCUGUAAUACUCUUGUUCCCUUCAUGGCUCUGUGGUUAACGAGCCUGACUAGGUUCCGUAAGUAUAUGGGUUCGAUCCCUGGCCUUGCUCAGUGGGUUAAGGAUCCAUUGUUGCUGUGAGCUGUGGUGUAGGUCACAGAUGUGGCUCAGAUGCUGUGUUGCUGUGGCUGUGGUUUAGGCCUUCAGCUGCAGCUCUGAAUUGACCCCUAGUCUCUGAAUCUCCAUAUGCUCUGGGUACAGCCCUAAAAUUAAAAAAAAAAAAAAAAAAAAAAAAAAG